AAAACGCAUUUAAAUAUAAGCGUCCACUAAACCGCACCGCACGCAACGGAUUUUACUAUGAGGCAUACUCCGUUGCGUGCGUCCGAUGCAUCCGAUACCGAGAAGUGGACG